rnacentral:rRNA from 1 species
CCUGGCUCAGGAUGAACGCUAGCGGCAGGCUUAACACAUGCAAGUCGAGGGGCAUCGGGAGUAGCAAUACUGCCGGCGACCGGCGCAAGGGUGCGUAACGCGUGAGCAACAUGCCCGUAUCAGGGGGAUAAUCCAUGGAAACGUGGUCUAAUACCCCAUAGUAAUUAUGUAAGGCAUCUUAUAUAAUUUAAAGCUUUGGUGGAUACGGAUUGGCUCGCGUGACAUUAGCUGGAUGGUAAGGUAACGGCUUACCAUGGCUACGAUGUCUAGGGGUUCUGAGAGGAAGGUCCCCCCACACUGGAACUGAGACACGGUCCAGACUCCUACGGGAGGCAGCAGUGAGGAAUAUUGGACAAUGGAUGGAAAUCUGAUCCAGCCAUGCCGCGUGCAGGAAAGACGGCCCUAUGGGUUGUAAACUGCUUUUGUAUGGGAGCAAUAAGGGCUACGUGUAGUCCGAUGAGAGUACCAUACGAAUAAGCACCGGCUAACUCCGUGCCAGCAGCCGC